rnacentral:lncRNA from 1 species
UUAAUUUGCAUAUCACCAUGGCACUACAGUUAUUUUUCCUGCGUGCUGCGCUAUCGCAAGGCUGGAAAAAGCGGCAUAAAGGCCGCCGGAAAGGAGCGUUAAAGAAGGUUCAUCUCUCUCUCUCACAUACUGAGGACGAGGGACAGGUAAAGCGCUGGAUCUGAAGACAGAGGACGCCUCGGAUGGUGGCUUCCUGGAGAUCCUGGACAAGGAUCCACCCAGUGCUCCAGCCAAAAAAAAAAACAGGCCUCAUGCUUUCAGCUACAAGGUUCUUCGUCCUCCUCGGCCCCGACCCAGCACGUCUCCAGAGAUAAUGGCGUAAUUUACAGCGGGCGUUGUGAAGAAUGAAUGAUGGCUGCUUUUUAGCCUUAACGGUCAUUUCCCUCUAACAAAUAACAGUCUUUUACUAAAAGGCACUGAAAAACACCUUCAGAAGGGGUCAGUCCUUCCACACUCCAUUCCUCUUCUAAUGCACUCUAUUCUGUCUUUUAUGCAGAUGAUUAUACAUUUAUAAGUCAUCUGUGCUUCAUACACAUUUCAUUUUACUCCAAAAAAUAAAAUAUAUAUUGUUUGAAGAGCCGUGGUUUGG